ACUAUCAUUAACUGAAUCCAUAGGUUAAUGAGGCGAACCGGGGGAACUGAAACAUCUAAGUACCCCGAGGAAAAGAAAUCAACCGAGAUUCCCCCAGUAGCGGCGAGCGAACGGGGAGGAGCCCAGAGCCUGAAUCAGCAUGUGUGUUAGUGGAAGCGUCUGGAAAGGCGCGCGAUACAGGGUGACAGCCCCGUACACAAAAGCGCAUGUGCUGUGAGCUCGAUGAGUAGGGCGGGACACGUGGUAUCCUGUCUGAAUAUGGGGGGACCAUCCUCCAAGGCUAAAUACUCCUGACUGACCGAUAGUGAACCAGUACCGUGAGGGAAAGGCGAAAAGAACCCCGGCGAGGGGAGUGAAAAAGAACCUGAAACCGUGU
rnacentral:rRNA from 3 species